UUUCUGAAGAAAAAAGGUAGAGAAAGGUAAAUCACCCAUCGACCGACAACUCUAUGUCAGCUACUUAAACCUUGCGGUUUCCCAUAGGACUAUUUGGCCAGAUUAGCCCCGCUUGGUCAAACAUUGGAGUGUGCCUUUUAGUAACCCCGACGCCUCCGGCAGGACAAAAAGAGGGCGCAACGUUAUAGGGAUUAUAUUUAACGUGCACUGAACGGGAUUUAUUGUGAUCGUUUGGUUCUCUGAUCGGCGGUGUCUUCGAACGAUCCUGCAAUUCACGUUGCAUCUAUAAUUUCAACAAAUAAGACAAAAUGGGGUAAAAUCUGCUCACACCCAGCCGAGCUCAUUGUUGCCGACCUGACGCGACCGCCAUUAUUAGCUCGCCUAUCCGUGAACGUCCAGCAUCCCGCAAAUGCGCCAGACUAACCGACUUCUGUUACAAAUGGUGCUAUAUUGAGAACAGCUCGAUGUACAAUCGAAAC